rnacentral:rRNA from 1 species
UAAGGAAUAUUGGUCAAUGGACGCAAGUCUGAACCAGCCAUGCCGCGUGCAGGAAGACGGCCUUAUGGGUUGUAAACUGCUUUUGUCAGGGAAUAAACCCCCGCUUGCGAGCGGGGCUGAAGGUACCUGAAGAAUAAGCAUCGGCUAACUCCGUGCCAGCAGCCGCGGUAAUACGGAGGAUGCAAGCGUUAUCCGGAUUCAUUGGGUUUAAAGGGUGCGCAGGCGGGCGUAUAAGUCAGGGGUGAAAUACUACGGCUCAACCGUGGAACUGCCUUUGAUACUGUAUGUCUUGAGUUUAAUUGAAGUGGGCGGAAUGUAGCAUGUAGCGGUGAAAUGCAUAGAGAUGCUACAGAACACCGAUAGCGAAGGCAGCUCACUAAGUUACAACUGACGCUCAUGCACGAAAGCGUGGGGAUCAAACAGG